AAAGUUAUACUGUAGUUACGUACCAAAUGUUAUCCUUUCUCGAGGAAAUUCCCAUUCCGGUAUAAACGGUAGCUUGUGAACUUGUUCUUGAAUACCUUUAUUAGCAUCCAACAUCGCAAUGUAGUCCGGUAAAGGAGGAAAUGAGAAAAGAUAAAAGCCACCAUAGAGUUUCUUUCUUUUGUACAUCACAAAACUUGAUGCGAUUAACAUGAUCAUGGUUAUCAACCCAAUCGCAGCGGCGACAAAAAUAAAGGUACGCUUCUGCUGAGAUUUAGGAUCA